rnacentral:rRNA from 1 species
AUGCAAGCUCGAACGGAACCUAGUAUGUUAGACUGUAGAUGUUAGAGUAUUAGAGUGAAACGCAGAGUUUACGGAAGGGGUACACUCCCUCUGCGGAAAAGGAAUCUAACACUCUAAUGUCUAGAGCUCUAACGUCUAGGUUUAGUGGCGGACGGGUGAGUAACGCGUGAGCAACCUGCCUUUUAGAGGGGGAUAACGUUUGGAAACGAACGCUAAUACCGCAUAACAUACAGAAGUCACCUGGCUUUUGUAUCAAAGGAGCAAUCCGCUGAAAGAUGGGCUCGCGUCCGAUUAGCUAGAUGGCGGGGUAAUGGCCCACCAUGGCGACGAUCGGUAGCCGGACUGAGAGGUUGAUCGGCCACAUUGGGACUGAGACACGGCCCAGACUCCUACGGGAGGCAGCAGUGGGGGAUAUUGCACAAUGGGGGAAACCCUGAUGCAGCAACGCCGCGUGAGGGAAGACGGUUUUCGGAUUGUAAACCUCUGUCUUUGGUGACGAUAAUGACGGUAGCCAAGGAGGAAGCCACGGCUAACUACGUGCCAGCGGCCGCGGUAAUACGUAGGUGGCAAGCGUUGCCCGGAUUUACUGGGUGUAAAGGGUGCGUA